CCUACGGGAGGCUGCAGUGGGGAAUAUUGGACAAUGGGGGGAACCCUGAUCCAGCCAUGCCGCGUGUGUGAAGAAGGCCCUCGGGUUGUAAAGCACUUUCAGUGAGGAAGAACGCCUGGUGGUUAAUACCCAUCAGGAAAGACAUCACUCACAGAAGAAGCACCGGCUAACUCCGUGCCAGCAGCCGCGGUAAUACGGAGGGUGCGAGCGUUAAUCGGAAUUACUGGGCGUAAAGCGCGCGUAGGUGGCUUGAUAAGCCGGUUGUGAAAGCCCCGGGCUCAACCUGGGAACGGCAUCCGGAACUGUCAAGCUAGAGUGCAGGAGAGGAAGGUAGAAUUCCCGGUGUAGCUGUGAAAUGCGUAGAGAUCGGGAGGAAUACCAGUGGCGAAGGCGGCCUUCUGGACUGACACUGACACUGAGGUGCGAAAGCGUGGGUAGCAAACAGGAUUAGAUACCCUGGUAGUC
rnacentral:rRNA from 1 species